rnacentral:rRNA from 1 species
GUCGGUACGUGCCCUCGGGUCGGGGAUAGCCAGGGGAAACUCUGAUUAAUACCCGAUAACCUCGAGAGAGCAAAGGUCCGCUGCCGGAGGAGCGGCCGACGUGGUAUCAGGUAGUUGGUGAGGUAACGGCUCACCAAGCCAUAGACGCCUAGGGGGCGUGAGAGCGCGACCCCCACCACUGGGACUGAGAUACUGCCCAGACACCUACGGGUGGCUGCAGUCGAGAAUCUUCCGCAAUGGGCGCAAGCCUGACGGAGCGACGCCGCGUGCGGGAUGAAGGCCCUUGGGUUGUAAACCGCUGUCAGGGGGGAUGAAAGCCGUAAGGCUUGACAGAGCCCCAGAGGAAGCACGGGCUAAGUUCGUGCCAGCAGCCGCGGUAAGACGAACUGUGCGAACGUUAUUCGGAAUCACUGGGCUUACAGGGUGCGUAGGCGGCUUGUUAAGUAGGGUGUGAAAUCCCCCGGCCCAACCGGGGAAUGGCGCUCUAAACUAGCAGGCUU